ensembl:lncRNA
GGAGAGGAAGAGACAGACAAAGACAUCAUUUCUCUCCUAGCUCUUCUUAUAAGGGCACUAAUCCCAUUCACGAGGCUCCAUCCUUGUGACCUAGUCCCCUCCCAGAGACCCCGCCUACUAACACCAUCACAUUGGGGGUUUAGGCUUCAACAUCACAAUUUAGGAGGACACAGGCUAUUGCACAUGCUGUAGCUACUGUGAGAGUUUAUCAGCUAUUCUCACUGGACAACUUGCAAAACCAGGGCACUUGGAGACUCAUAGUUGGGUUUAUGAUAAAAAGGCUGACUUGAGACUCUUGGCCCUGAUUAGGGUGAAAGAGCAGAUCACUCCUGCAGCCUGGGAAUCGCUCACUGCUGAGAGCACACGUUGUCAUGGGGCCACGGAGGACAUCGUGAAGGUGACACAUGACCUUGGACAGAGAAGCCAGGAGAUAGUAGGCUCUGUGAGGGUGAGAGGGAGUGCCUUCGCUCCAACCAGUCUUGCUGGAGGAUGGAUGGAGUUUCUCAGUCUCCUGUAAAGCCGUGGGGUGUAGGGCACCAGAGUGUGCACAGACAGAUUCAUACCCUACAGAGGCCGAUGGAACAUCAGCUCCAAGCCAGAUACCUGCACUUUUUAUUUGACUUUGAGUUUUCCCUGGUUGUGCCAGUCAAUGAGACCCCUUCUUCCCAUAACUGAGGAUCCUGGGAACCAGAAUGAACAACCCCAAGGUUCCUUAGGGAAUAUGGAGUUGGAACGGAGGGCUACGAGAUCUGAAAGAGAUCCUACCACACCAAAGGUCUCAGACAUUUCUGUUCCUUUGGACAUUUGUGCCACGUGGGACAGGAUGCAGUCAUGGUAGAGUGACGGGCUUUUCCCAGCUCUGCCCUUCAGCUGGUCGGAAACCAUGGCCAUGGAAAGCCUCCUUUUCGCUUGAUACAGACCCUCAAGCCAAACAGAUGGAGACUAUCACUCAAGAAAAGUCAAUUCCUGAUGGAGAGAAAUCUCUAGACCUCAGAAGGCACGUGUCACUCGGACAAGAACCUUGGACACCGUGGUCAUCCAGACCUCUCAGCAGAAAAGCGUAUACUCUUUGUAGUUCUCCGGUUCUUCUUCCCAUCUCUUUGUAAUUCUACAUUGAUCGUCUGGGAUGUGGAAACUGAAAGAACCUCAGAUCGUGCCACAGUGCUGUGUAUCCUGAGAAGUCUCUGGAGAAAAUUCAUACCCUUCUUUAUUUGCUACAGACACUGGCCAAGAUAAAGUGAUCCCAGAAACACAUGGAAUGCAUUGACAAGUGUAGACUUGCUCUUAAAUAUCUGUGAUUAUCUGUGCAUCCAGAAACUGAGUCUAUGGAACCUGUGUUACUAGUGCUGAAAUCAAUCAUAAAAAGAACAUCUUUUUCUAUUAAAAUCAAAGAUGCCUAUCAUGGAACUCAGAGAAAAUAGUAUUUAUUAUGAAAGUAAAUGUCACAUCCAAAGCCACAAUUGAUAUCAAGUUCCUUCCCCACCCCCAAGAUCCUUCAUAGAAGAAUGGAGGGAAUAGAUUUCAUAGGCACUGGAACUGCCCUUUUAAAACAGGCAUUUUAAAAAAUUAUUUUAGGGGCAGUAAAACAGAAGAGGAGCCAACCUCUGAUCUCUCUGAAUCUCAGCUGUAUCACCUGUGAAGAAGGACUAAUAAAAUUCUGUCACACUGUUUCUAAGCUUCUACU